GAAGCCGCUUCGGUGGUGGAUUAGUGGCGAACGGGUGAGUAACACGUGGGCAAUCUGCCCUGCACUCUGGGACAAGCCCUGGAAACGGGGUCUAAUACCGGAUAUGACACGAGGGGGCAUCUUCUCGUGUGGAAAGCUCCGGCGGUGCAGGAUGAGCCCGCGGCCUAUCAGCUUGUUGGUGGGGUGAUGGCCUACCAAGGCGACGACGGGUAGCCGGCCUGAGAGGGCGACCGGCCACACUGGGACUGAGACACGGCCCAGACUCCUACGGGAGGCAGCAGUGGGGAAUAUUGCACAAUGGGCGCAAGCCUGAUGCAGCGACGCCGCGUGAGGGAUGACGGCCUUCGGGUUGUAAACCUCUUUCAGCAGGGAAGAAGCGCAAGUGACGGUACCUGCAGAAGAAGCACCGGCUAACUACGUGCCAGCAGCCGCGGUAAUACGUAGGGUGCGAGCGUUGUCCGGAAUUAUUGGGCGUAAAGAGCUCGUAGGCGGCUUGUCGCGUCGGAUGUGAAAGCCCGGGGCUUAACCCCGGGUCUGCAUUCGAUACGGGCAGGCUAGAGUUCGGUAGGGGAGAUCGGAAUUCCUGGUGUAGCGGUGAAAUGCGCAGAUAUCAGGAGGAACACCGGUGGCGAAGGCGGAUCUCUGGGCCGAUACUGACGCUGAGGAGCGAAAGCGUGGGGAGCGAACAGGAUUAGAUACCCUGGUAGUCCACGCC
rnacentral:rRNA from 1 species